GCCUUGUCCUCUUAUGCUUCUGUCAUUGUCAUGAGAAAAACAUUCCCUCUGUUCCCAGAUAGAGUCCUGAAAUGAGACAUGUGGAGAAGACUUGUUCUAGUCUACCUACCUAUCAGCCUCUUGAAGCAGACCUGCCCAGGUUGGCACUAUUCUAGAUCACUUGCAACCCAUAAAUAUAAUAAUAAAUGUUUGCAUAAACUCAUUGAUGAAUGAUCAGCUGGAAGAAAAUGAUUUUGUUAUUCUCUCUGUUUCAAAACACAACUGAGUUGCUCUAUUGACUAGGCAACAUCAAGUGAAAUAGAUCUACUAGGCUUCUGUGACUCAAAUCGUGACAUUUUGCCAUCAUGUUUAUUAUUGAUAAAAACUGUAAAUGAACAAUAAACCAGAAG
rnacentral:lncRNA from 12 species